GCUGGUCCAAAAACGCGACACCUGACGCCAUAUGAGGUGAGCUAAUAGACAUCACCUGUGAGACAGACUCGUGACGCGCUGUGGACUGAUUGACAGUGGAGCGCACGUGAGAGAGGGGCUGGAGGAGGGGGUCUUUCUCCCAGUGCCGCAGCUACGACACAGUGGGUCCCUGGCUGCCCCUCGCCCGCACGGUUGGACUGAUCUUAUUUUUCAAAAGCACUGCAGUCUCUCAACCUGAACCAGACCAGAGAAUACGUGUCUGGUCUUAAUUAAAAGCAAGAGGUGCUGCAGCUACAUCAGGCAGACUACCCGGCUGCUGAGAUAGAGCAGCCGAGGAAGUUCCUAUGGGCAGUGACUCGCUGCUGCUAGCUGUGUUGGAGGAGGAGUUGUGGUGAGGAGUAGCUGGAGGAAGAGGAGGAGGAAGGCAG